GGAGAGAUGGCAGAGUGGUUGAAUGCGGCGGUCUUGAAAACCGUUAUUCCUGGAAACAGGAAUCGUGAGUUCGAAUCUCACUCUCUCCA
rfam:Candidate division TM6 bacterium GW2011_GWF2_28_16 SZ59_C0003, whole genome shotgun sequence.